rnacentral:rRNA from 1 species
UACGUAGGGCGCAAGCGUUGUCCGGAAUUAUUGGGCGUAAAGAGCUCGUAGGCGGCCUGUUGCGUCCGCUGUGAAAUCCCGGGGCUUAACCCCGGGCUUGCAGUGGAUACGGGCAGGCUGGAGGCAGGCAGGGGAGAACGGAAUUCCCGGUGUAGCGGUGAAAUGCGCAGAUAUCGGGAGGAACACCGGUGGCGAAGGCGGUUCUCUGGGCCUGUACUGACGCUGAGGAGCGAAAAGCGUGGGGAGCGAACAGG